GUCUAUGGCCAUGCCACCCUGAACGUGCCCGAUCUCGUCUGAUCUCGGAAGCUAAGCAGGGUCAGGCCUGGUUAGUACUUGGAUGGGAGACCACCUCGGAAUACCAGGUGCUGUAGGCG
rnacentral:rRNA from 1 species